rnacentral:rRNA from 1 species
UACGUAGGGUGCAAGCGUUGUCCGGAAUUAUUGGGCGUAAAGAGCUCGUAGGCGGUUUGUCGCGUCGAAUGUGAAAACCCGGGGCUCAACCCCGGGCCUGCAUUCGAUACGGGCAGACUAGAGUUCGGUAGGGGAGUCUGGAAUUCCUGGUGUAGCGGUGAAAUGCGCAGAUAUCAGGAGGAACACCGGUGGCGAAAGCGGCGUGCUGGAUCUCUUCUGACGCUGAGGCUCGAAAGCUAGGGGAGCAAACGGG